rnacentral:misc_RNA from 1 species
CUGGGAAAGUUCCUAAUGGACAGUCAUCUUUGGAACACUGUGCUCAAGUCAUCUUGUAUACUCUCCUUAUGUCUGAGAGGUACUUGAGACAUAUCGAUUCUGGUAUUUUACAUUAUCUCUAUUCAGAUCAGACACAGGGAAUUAUGGUGCGAAGGUCUGAUGUGGUUGGGUUAAUUAUGCGUCGUAAUGAGCUUGCAAGUGACAUACUCAAGGCAUCAAAAAUACAACAAUUGCC